AGUCAACCCUGUUACCCUAGAUUCCCAUCCAGUCCUACAUGAUUUGCGUUACCACAGGCCCUACAAGGGACUGUUAAUGGGCUUAAAAACAGCUACAGCUCCUUAUGUUAACCUAGGAUCCCAUCCCCACCUAACUUUUCACGACUGCAGAGGGUACUUGGGACUGUUAAUGGGCUCAAUUAGAGCUACAAGCCCCUUCUGUUAGUCCAGAUUCCCAUGCCCUCCUACUCAAUCUGCAUUACCAAAGGGAGUACAAUGGAUUGUUUAUGUGCUUAAAUGGAGCUACAGUCCCUUAUGUAACCUAAGGUUCCAUUUCCAGUUAACUCCCUUUCCUGACGGCAGAGGGUACUAGGGACUGUUAAUGAGCUUAUUGCAGCUUCAUUCCCUUCUGUUAGUGUACAUUCCCAUCCUCUCUUACACGGUUUGCAUUGCCACAAGCUGUAUAACUAUUAAUGUACUUAAAUGCAACUACAGUCCCUUAUGUUAACCUAGGAUCCCAUUCCUACCUAACUCCCUUUUCAUUAAUGCAGAGCCUACAUGGGACUUGUUAAUGGGUUUAAUCACAGCUACAGUCCCUUCUCUUAGUCUAGAUUCCCAUCCCCUCCUACAGAUUUACAUUAUCACAGAGGAUACAAGGGACUGUUAAUGUGCUUAAAUGCAGGUAUAGUCCCCUUUAUUGUUUCACCUAGGAUCCCAUUCCCAACUAAUCCCCUUUGCAUUACCACUGACUGUACAAGGGACUGUUAACGUGCUUAAAUGCAAUUAUAGUCCGUUAUGGUAAUCUUGGAUCCCACCCCCAACUAACUCCCUUUGUAUGACUGCAGAGAAUACUUGGGACUUUAAAUGCGAUUGAUUGCAACUACAGUCCUUUCUGUUAGUCUAGGAUCCGUUCCCUUCCUUCUUGAUUUGCAUUACCAGAGAGGGUAGAAGGGAUGGUUAAUGUACUUAAAUGGGUCUACAGUCCCUUAUGAUAACCAGGAUCCCAUUUCCACCUAACUCCCUUUGCACUACCACAGAGGCUACAAAGUACUGCUGAAGUGCUUAAAUGCAGAUACAGUCCCUUAUGUUAACCUAGGAUCUUGUUCCCACCUAACUCCCUUUGCAUGACUGCAGAGGGUAUUUGGGACUAUUAAUGGGCUUUACUGAAGCCACAGUCCCUUUUCUUAGUCUAGGAUCCCAUCCCCUCCUACAGGAUUUACAUUACCACUGGAGGGUACAAGGGACUGUUAUGGUGCUUAAAUGCAGGUAGAGUUCAAGGAUCCCAUUUCCACCUGCCUCCAUUUGCAUUACCAAAGAGGCUACCAGGGACUGCUAAUGUGUUUAAAUGCAGGUACAGUGCCUUGAGUUAACCCCGAAAUCCCACCUAACUCCCUUUUCAUGACUGCAGAUGGUAAUUGGGACUGUUAACAAGCUUUAAUGCAGCUAUGGUUUCUCUCUUAGUCUAGAAUCCCAUUCCCUCCUACUUUACAUUACCACAGAGUGUACAAGGGACUUUAAUGUGCUUAAAUGGCACUACAGUCCCUUAUGUUACCUAUGAUCCCAUUCCCACGUAACUCCCUUUGCAUGACUGCAGAGAGUACUUGGGACUGUUAAUGCGUUUACCUGCCUAUACAGUCUCAUCUGUCGGUCUAGAUUCCCAUGCCCGCCUACUCAAUUUGCAUUAUAAAAGAGGGUACAAAGGACUGUUAAUGUGCUUAAAUGCAGUUAUAGUCCCUUUGUAAGGUGGGAUCCCAUUCCUACUAACUCCCUUUGCUUCAUCCCAGAGGCUACAAGGGACUUUCAAUGUGCUUAAAUGCAGGUACAGUCCCUUAUGUUAACCUUGAAAUACAUUCCCACCUAACUCCCUUUUCAUCACUGCAAAGGGUACUUGGGACUGUUAAUGGGCUUCAUUGAAGCUGCUGUCCCUUCUGUUGUCUAGACUCCCUUUCCCUCCUUGAUUUGCAUUACCACAGUGUACAAUGGACUGUUACUGUGCUUGAAUGCAGGUACAGUACUAUUUUUUAAACCUAGGAUCCCAUUCCCACCUAACUCCCUUUGCGUUUCUGCAGAGGGCACUUGGGACUAUUUUAAUUGGACUCCUGUCCCUUCUGUUAGUCUGGGAUCCCAUCCCCUCCUACUUGAUUUGUGUUUCCACAGAGGCUACAGGGGACUGUUAAUGUGCUUAUUAAAUGCAGGUACAAUCCCUUAUGUUAACCUAGGAUCCCAUUCCCACCUAUCUCCUUUUGCAUGACUGCAGAGGUAUUUGAGACCUUUAAAGUGGUUAGUGGCAGCUGUAGUCCCAUCUGUUAAAUGUACUUUCUCAAGCACUCCAAUUCCCUCACAUAACUUGGGAACAUAUUUGGGACUGUCACUGUGCUCGUUUUUAGCUGUGGUCCCUUCUGUAAUUCUAGGAUCUCAUCCCUUUCUACUCAUUUGUAUUACUUGUUGAUAUUGGGACUGAAAGGUGCUUAAAUGCAGCUGUAAUCCGUUUUGUUAAUCUAGGAUUCCAUGCCUUCUAACUCCCUUAACAUUACCUAGGAGUGUAUUUGGGACUGUUGAAGUGCUUAAUUGCAUCUGUGGUCCCUUCUGUUUAGUCUCACUUCCCAUGCCCUCUUACUCCCUUUGCAUUACAGCAGAGGGCACUUGGGACUAUUAAAGUGUUUAAUUGCAGCUGUGGUCCCUUCUCUUAGUUUGGGGUCCAUGCCCCCCAGCUUUGUUUGCAUUACCACAGAAGGUACUUGGAACUGUGAAUGUGUUUAAAUGCAGAUGUGGUCCCUUUUGUUAGUUUCGGAUCCCAUGACUCCCUUUACAUUACCUGGGAGGGCAUUUGGGACUGUCAUGAUGGUAAUUGCACCUGUGUUCCCUUCUGUUGGUCUAGGAUUCCGUUACCUCCUACUCCCUUUGCAUUACAUGGGAGCGUUUGGGGGACUCUUAAGAUGCUUAACUGCAACUAUGGUCCUUUCUGUUAGUCUAGUUUCCAGUCCCUUUCUACUCGCUUUGCAUUACCACAGAGGGUACUUGGGACUGUUGUGGUGCAUCCCAUCCUCUCACACCCUGUCAGCAUUACAGCAUAGGGUCCUGAACACCAAGGCCCCUUCUUUUCACUGUUAAUGCACAAUUGUAUUUGUCCUUCUUCCUCUGCAGUAUAUAAAGACCUCACUAAUUUCCCUUGUAUUCAGUGGUGGAUGCCCUUUACUCAAGACCUUUGUACUAGAAUAAAGUGAGCCAUGGUAAUUGACCACAAAUAUAUCUUUCACUUAAGUCCCUUGUACUCUCUUUGUUUUAUAAGAAGAUGUAUUAAUUACCUCCGUUACUUUUUCUGGGAGUAUUUACAUACAAAAUUCCAGUGUUCAAGGCCCCUCUCUUUAAACUAAUAUCCCUCCCUUUCUGUAUUAUAUCAGGGGAUGUUAGUGACUCAGAUUCCUUCUCUUGGGACUCAUUGUGCAUGUGCCCUUGUGACAAGCUAAUAUCUUGACUUCUUAGUAUUAUAGGAGGGACUACUGACUAGUUUCUCUUUUGGACAGUUAAUGUGCAGAAUUACACUAGGAUCCCAUCCCAUUUCACCUCCUUUGCAUCAGGGGUCCUGAUCAACUGUGGCUGCUUUUCCUCUAGAGUUUAAAUGUGCAUAAUUUCAGUAACCCAUGCUCCCCUAUGUUAGAUUAGGAUCCCAUUUCCUUGCCCCAUUUACGUUACUGCAGGGGCUUCUGACUAGCCAAGAUUCGUUUUCUUGGACUGUUAAUGUGUAUACUUACAUUUGCUCUGGUACCUGUACACCAGGUAAGGACCCUCCCCAUUCUAUUUAUAUUCCAGCAGGAGGUGCCUACUACUCAAGAUCUUACACACUACUGCAGUUAAUGUGCACAAUCUUAGUUGUCUUGUACACAUUCUCAGUUGUCCACAACUGUGCUUUUUAGAUCAGGACUCCACUUAUUGAAGCACAGGUUACUUACUACCUUAAAGCCCUUGUUUUGGGACUGUGACUAUGUGUAAUUACAAUUGUCCAUGGUCCUUUGAGUUAACUUGUGUCCCUGACUCUUUUCACACUCUUUGCUUUACUGCAUGGGGUACUGUCCACUUAAGGCCCCUUUCUCAAAUACAAGUAAUGACAAUUACAUUAGGAUCCUUCCCCUUCAAACCCCUUUGAAGUACCACAAAGAUUUUGACCCCUAAGGUCCCAUUUCUUGUCCUGUUAUUGUAUUUGUCUGGGUUCCUGUGCACUAGACAAGGACACCUCUCCAUUCCCUGUCCUUCCAGCAGGAAGUGCCCCCUCCACAAGACUUGUUAAAUUUGGACAGUCAAGGUGCACAGUUGUAACUGACCACAACCAGUCACCUUGGACAUUAAUGUGCAUAAUUGCACAUGGCUCAUCCCAUAUGGAUAAGAUCCUAUCCUCUCAGACCUCUUUUGUAGUACAGCAGGGGUACUGAUCACUAAGGCCUCUUUUAUGGCUUGUUAUUGUGCAUAAUUGCAUUUGUGCAUGUUCCUGUACAGUAGAUGGGGACACCUAUCUCCCCACUCCCUUUGCCUUCUAGCAGGGAGUGCCCGCUACUUUAAGAUCCUUAUAUUUGUACAAGGUAUACGAUUUUAAUUGCCACACCAUGUCCCUUCGACAUUAAUGUACAUAAUUGCAACUUAGUUCAUCUUAUCCUGUUGCCCUCCAUUUGCAGUAUACCAUGGUUGCUGACCCCUAAAUCCCCAUUCCUUGGCCUGUUGAUGUGCAUAAUUGCAUUUGGUUCUUGGGCAGUAGACAAGGAUCCCCUCCUCCCCCCCAUUUCCUAUGCCUUCCAGUAGGUUGUGCCCACCACCAAGACCUUUGUAUUUGGACAGUUAAUGUGCAGAAUUGCAGUUUUCCACAACCCUGUUACUUCUAGGACUAUUUUAUCUCCUUUGUAAUACUGCAGGGGAUACUGUUUUCCCCCAAGGUCCCUUCUAGUGGACCGUUAAUAUACAUAAUUGAAAUUGUUGUCUUUAUCAGUAGACUAAUGUCAUAUCCCCUCAGCUAACUAUCAUGACCUCAGCUCUUGGACAAUUAAUAUGCACCAAUAACAUAUCAAAAGUACGAUCAUUAGAUAGGACCCCUGUACCCUCACUGUAUACAUCAGGGGUACUGACUAAGGCCCCAUUUUUGGACUGAUAAUGUGAAUAUUUGCAAUUAUCUAUUCUCCCUUCUUAUUAGAGUAGGAUAGCAUCCCCUUGCACCCCCUUUGCAUUACAGCAGGGGCUGCUAAUGACACAAAACUUCUACUGGGACUGCUGAUGAGCACAAUGGCAAUUAGCAAUGGGUUUUUCCUCCCUGGCUUUGUUAGGCAAGCAUUCCUAGCUCCAGUUUCCCAUGGCACAAUAAAGUAUAAACACUGCAGUAUGCUGUGAACUUGUCCAUCAAACAGCGACCCAUACUCCCACCCCUUUUGCAUUGGCUCCAGUGUAUCAAAUUCCAAGUAGUCAUAGUCUUGCCAUUAUCUUCCCUCUCCAGAUCCCUUGCCUGCCCUUGGACCCUUCUUAUGGAAUAUUACUGCUCACAAUUUCAGGUGUCCAUGUAUCCAGAUAAGAUUGUGCUCUCUUGCCCCUCCCGCUCCUGCCCUGCCCCUUUUGCAUUGUUGCUGGGAAAUGUUGACUGAGCAAAAUGCUUUUCUCUUGGACUUAAAACGUUAACAAUCUCAGAUGUCAUUGUUUUGCCCAUUUUGAAUUUCUGUAAUACCUUGGUUGCACUUUCUUUGGUCCGGCCCAUUAGACAUGGACCCUUCCACUUCCUUCUUUGCAUUACUUCUGAGUAGUGCUGACCUCCCACAACCCCUUCGGUGUUUUAAACACAGUAUUAAUUGUCCCAUUUUUUAGCCCAUCAGCCCCAGAUCUCCCUACCACUUUGAUGUUGUGUUUGUGCAGUAUUGACUACCAAAAGCAGGCCUGAACUAGGUGGCUGGGCCUUCACUCCUUUUCCUGCAUUUGUUAAUGAUCCCAGUUCCAAUUAUUUUCACAUUCUGGGGACAGGAGCCAUUCCUGCCCCCCUCUUACUGCUUUACUAGGCAAAAUGCCCAAGGCAAGAUAGACCCAAGGGAACUGAAUUGCUACCCUUUAUUCUGGGUUUUCAUUAUACAUAAGUAUCAAUUGAAAAUUGUCUCCCCAGGAAGGAAGUUUAGCACUAUCUGUGCAUUCUUCCUUUCAAAGCAGAUUGCCUGGCUAAGAAUCUCUCCUCUCCUCUUGUAUAUUACCAUUGUAUAGUGUCAACUGCCAAGAUACAACCAAAAAGUUACUGUUAAUUUUUUAUGUUGUAAGGAAGAUUGCAAGGUAGAAUUGAUAACCUGGUCAUUGAAAUUUUGAAGUCUAAAAACCUAUUUAUACCAUGUACCUGAUGACCAGUGUCUCUCAUUUUACUAAGGGUGGUGGGUCUGUGGAUAGACCACUGUGACUUUGAUAUUUUAGUAUGAUCAAAGGAGUUCUAGAAUGGAACUCUUAAGACCAGUAUCUUUGGGCUCUACCACCAUUUUCAAACCAUUCCUUGUUUGGGCUUUAACAAUUUUCACUUUUAGAAAAACUACCUAAACUUCCUAAUCCUUAAAUUUUUUCAUCUGGAGCUCCAACCAGCCCCUUCUUAUUUCAAGAAGGUUGCUGUAAAAAGAUAAAAUGAGAGAACAUAUGCUGAGGUGCUUUUGAAAACCAUAGAUCAAUUUAUUUGAUUAAUCUAUUACAUAAAAUGCCCCCUGUUUAAUUCUGCUAAUUUAAAGUAACCUAAAGCACCACAUUGAAGUGAGGACUUAGAAAUGAUGGAACCAGUUUCCCCAUUUUAUAUGAAAAGAAAAAUAAGCCAAGAUCUAAUCAUUCUUUCGGAUAUAAAUUUCAACAGUGAGAUAGCUGCCUGGUAAAAAUGAAUAAUAUUCCAGCUCUAGUGUACAGGAUGUUUGGCAGAGAAGUAUUUAAUAUGGAACUGCUGGAGCAAAUAACUAGUUAUCACUCCAGCAGUUCUUUGUAAUCACUGAGAAAGGAUACUCUUCUCUGAGAAGGAUGUCAAAAGAUUCGCCCAGCUCAGGGUGCUGUUUACACUACUAGCUCCUUGGACAGCUGUAAGAAGUCUGGCUCUUUAGAAUACUGGAUGAAUUCUGAGCUGGUACCCCCACUCAAGAGGAAGGAUGGAUCGAUUUUAGGUGGAUUGAAGCCUGCCCUAGACAGCAUCCAAAGGACAUUCUGAGCAUGUGAGACCUGAGGAACUGCAAGCAGCUUUAAGAAGCUCUACAUUCAACAGGUCUUUCCUUUUGAGAAUCUGGAUAAGCUCCAACCAAUCUAAGAGGAUGGCUUGCCGGCUCCCUGGAGAAAAAGAUCUUCCUCAGAAGAAUAGGCUUGUUGCUUUACAGUGUUAAUGACCCAUUCCCUUUGACGAUCCCUAGGUGGAGAUGGGGCAUGAGGAUCCUCCAAGGGAAAAGCUCACUAUCACUGAGCAACAACCCUAGGCCAGGAGGUUCUACUAAGAUUCUUUCCUGGGCCCAGUUAGGAGGAUGAAAUCUCAAGACAACCACCACACAUCCAGAGGAGAACAUGGACAACAACGACCACAUCUGUGACAUUGAUCAUGGGCAGAUCAUCAUUCUGGACCCUCUGGUCUCCAGAGUCUCCCUUGAGACCCUGUUGGAGAACUUUGCCAAUCAUUUACAUACUUCGAGAUGCCUUGGGAUAGCUGUUGGACAAAACAAAAAACAAGCUGUUUGAGAAGAUAAAACAGAGUUGUGUCUUUUUAUGCUGUGCCUGCUAAUUGACAGAAGCUUCACAACUAUGAGUGGGAAUGUGACUAGAAGUGGCACAAAGUUAUCUAUCGUCAGGCUGGAUCUAAAGAACUAGCACCCUGCUUAUUCUAGCUCCUGAUUGUUCCCUUCAUAUCUGUCCAAUCAUUAUCUUUCCCAGAAGCAGUGCAAAGAGCAAGACAUUUGAACACACCAAAGGAAGAUCAACAUGCCUGGCACUCUAGAAUUUUAGAAUAGCAGAAUGAAUGUGUAUUUGUUUGCUUAUCUAUUUCUUCCUUGAAUGUCUUUGGUCUUUCUUCUCUAACUAAAGUAUGUCUUACCCAUUUCCAUGUUUCUCUUACUAGUUUCUUCUCUCUAUAUCUUCGUGUCAUUUUCUUUUUUGUACCCAAGAGUGGUCUGUGUCUUGUCUUAGAUGUCUCUCUCUGGUUUUUUUCAUUUUGUUACUGAUUCUCCUUGCUCUCCUAGAUCUGGCUCUUCUUUCACUGCUCUUCUCUUUGUGUCUCUUGAGUCACAUGCUGUGUGCCUUUUGCUCAUUUCUUGCUAUGCCUACCUCUCUUUUUCUCUUUGUGAACUGUUUGUCACCCCCUCCCCUUGUUGGUUUGACAUUUCACCUUUUCUGAUACUGGCCACCCUUCUGCUGUUUCUACUCUUUAUCUUGCAUUGCUCUUUUCUACAUAUUCUUUCUGCCUCUCUUGGGCCAUUUUCUCUUUUUUCCUGCUUUGUGUGCCCCAGUGUCUCUUUGUUCUUUGUGAUUUUCCAUGUCAGCAUUCAUCUCUGUGUUCUCUUAUUUCUUCUCUGCUUUUGCCUUUCUACUUACCUUUGAGUAUUUCAGUCUCUUCUUGAGUCUAUGUCUCCCCCACUUUGAUUGCAUGCAGUCCUCUCUCCUUGCAUAUUUUUUGUGCAUGUGUGUGUGCAUGCUUUUGUGCAUGUGUGUGUGCAUGCUUUUGUGUGUGUGUGUGUUUGUAACAAAGGGGCCUCCUGACCCCUUCCUAAUAGGUACAGAGUGUCAGCUAUCAAAAUAUAAGCAUUGAAGAGCUGUUCCGUAUGCCAGGCCGCCUGUGAGAUGAUCCAAGACCAAUAAAAGGCCCAAGGGUCUAGACUGGAGUUGGACGGAAGACUCAAGUCUCGGUGAGACAGAAGGCCAAAGACCCAGGAUGGGAUGAAAAGCCUUUGCUUGAAGACCUAUGACCCAAAAAUGGAAGGGCCCAAGCACACAUAAAGACCCAGGACUCAAGCCUGUCUAUACAGACAGAAGGCCCAAGAGAGACAGAUAUCUCCAGACUAAAUUAGGCGGGAAGCUGGAGGCCCAUGACCCAGAAUCCAGGAAGGAUAGAAGCCCCAAGACCAAAGGAAAUUCCAAGAUGAGAACCCUAAACCGCAGCUCUUUUCUACUGUUCUCCCCUCUACUCUUGGACAUUUUCAGUUCUCCUUUUCCUGUUCUCAUAUCUCCUUUUAAACCCACUUCUUUUGAGAUGUCCUGUUUGAUGUUGCUGCUACUUUAAAGAAACACACCUUUAGAUCAGUAAUAUUAUGCCUGGGCCAGUCUUAAGCCAGUUUUUAUCACAGUUUUAAGCCAUUUAUUAAGUUUUUGGUGUUUUGCAAAGUUCCAUUUCUCUUCACCUCCUCUCCACUUGAGAGGGACACAUAGGUGACAUUAUAUUUCAGUCCCCUCUUUCCUCAGAAGCUCUAGGCUGAUGAGAGAAGGAAAGCAUCAGGUUACUGAGUGGAAAAAAAGUGCCAGGCUAUCUAGAGAAAUUGUGAAGAGAUGCUCCAGGCCAAUGAGAAGAACUAGACAAGAAAUACACAGAUGUGCCAGCUUGCUGAGAAGCACCAGCCAGCAACAUAUUACUUCUUUGAGCUUGGUUUCUGGCAUCCCAAGACUACCACUACUGCUAAACAAGAAUAAGAGAACAUGCUAUCAUCUGACUUUUGUGGCAUUAAUGAAGUUGUGAAAAAAUCUUUUUUAAAAAAGGAAAUGGCUUCAUCUUUAUCCUUCUACCUCAAAGGGAAUCUAUGCCAACAUGCUCCAAUGAAUGGAAGACAUACUUGGACUUGUGAACUGAUGUGAAACGCGGAAUAUCUGAGCCAUGGUUGUUUUGAAGAUCGAAAAAUCUUGUUCAGCAUGGGUGGCCAGCAAAAAAACAAUCUAGAGCUGUCUGUAUGUCACAACUGAGACAAAUUGGGGAGUUUGUUGUUUAAUGUCAAAUAAAAAUGUACUGUUUUGAAAA